UGGGGGAUAUUGCACAAUGGGGGGAACCCUGAUGCAGCGACGCCGCGUGGGUGAAGAAGCGCCUCGGCGCGUAAAGCCCUGUCAGCAGGGAAGAAAAUGACGGUACCUGAAGAAGAAGCCCCGGCUAACUACGUGCCAGCAGCCGNGGUAAUCUCUCUCU
rnacentral:rRNA from 1 species